UCAGUACUGGCAAACAUGGCUCGUCUCGUGUUGUGUGCUUUAGCGCUCCUAGUGGCCGGCGGGUCUUGCGACUCCCUCAAGAAGAUCUGGCCCCAAAAACCUGCUGACCAGGCUUCCCUCAAGCGUCAGAUUGACCUGUCAACUCUCUUCUACCAUAUCCAUGAGCCCCUUCACUACGAGCCACUUAAGACCAUUGCCAGUACUUGGGAAAUCGAGAAGAACAUUCAGCACUACAGCAAUGUAACUGCUGUCAAGAUUUACGUGGAUCUCAUGGAGUAUGGUCUACUGCCACGUGCGGUGCCUUUCUCUAUUCUUGAAGAAUAUCAUCAGUUCGAGGCUGAGACUCUCUUCCAAGUUCUGUUCUCCGCCAAGGACUACGAUACGUUCUACAAGACUGCCGUGUACCUCAGAGACCGUGUUAAUGAAAACCUGUACGUUUACGUGCUCACCACCGCCAUUGUUCACCGCCACGACACUCAAGGAUUCGUCGUCCCACCCCUCUACGCAAUCUUCCCCUCUUACUUCCUCAAUGGAGAAGUUAUGACCACUGCCCAGAGGAUCAACACUCACGGCAUGCACCUAGUCGAGCACUACCCGAUGACUUAUAUCUGGAACGACAAUGUAGUGAUUAGGUGGAACGAGACCGUCUGGCCUUACUUCUCUGUCGAUUCCCCUGUCUUCUACUGGACUCACGAUUUAGCUCUCAACACAUGGUACUACAACACCCAAGUGGCUUACCCGAAAUGGCUCGCAAGCGAAACCUGCCCCUUGGUGAAGGACUACCGCGGUGAAUGGUUCUGGUACUCGCACAAGCAGCUCCUGGCUCGUUACUACAUGGAGAGGCUGUCGAACGGUCUUGGUGAGAUCCCAGAUCUUGAACUGCACGGCAUUGUUGAGGAAGGUUACACCCCUGGUCUCCUGUACCACAACGGAAUCCCAUUCCCGGUUAGGCCUAACCACUUCCACCUUCAUCAACAAGACUUCAUCAAUGAAAUUAAGGCUAUUGAUGUCUACGAGCGUCGUAUUCGUGACGCGAUCGACGUUGGAUACUACAUUAACAACUUGGGCGAGCUCGUUAGCCUGCGCACUCCUGAAUCCAUCGAUGUUCUCGGACGCCUGAUUGAAGCCGACGCUGACUCUCCCAACACCGGUUACUACAAGGACUUCAUCACCCUCUGGAAAGAACUCCUCGGAAACUCUAUUGUUCACGAGCACGCUUACCACCAGACUACCGUGCCCCUGGUCCUGCCUUCCGCUCUAGAGCUCUACCAGACCGCUCUUCGCGACCCCGCUCUCUACAUGAUCUGGAAGCGUGUGUUGAACCUCUUCAACCUGUGGCACCAGCAGCUGCCUCUCUACAAGCCUGAAGAACUUGCUUUACCCACUGUUACUAUCCAGAAGGUUGAGACUGAUAAGUUGGUCACCUACUUCGAGAACACCUACGUGAACGUUACCAACCACCUGCACAUGAACGAUUUUGAAAGGAAGGUGGUCGUUGAUGACGUCAGUGUCCUCGUCCAGGUCCCUCGUCUGAACCACAAGGUCUUCCAGAUCCGCGUGAACGUCAAGAGUGAAGUCGCGAAGACCGUUCUCGUCAAAUUCUUCUUGGCUCCCAAAUACGACAGCCACGGCUACGAAAUCCCUCUUCACCUGAACACCGAAAACUUCUUCCAAAUGGACCAGUUCACUUACGACUUGCCCGUUGGUGAGCACGUUAUCAAGCGCGAUUCCAUCCAGAAUAUAUGGACCAUUGACGACUGGACCAGCGCUCAUGAGGUCUACGAGAAGGCUGAGAACGCCCUGCACGGCAAGGGUCAAUUCGUCUUGAGUCAGGCUCAGAAGAUUGAAGGAUUCCCUGAGCGUCUGCUGCUUCCUAAGGGUCGCGUCGGAGGUAUGCCCUUCGUCCUGCUGACUUACAUCUCUGAGUACCGCGCGCCCAAGGUCCAACAGGGUACUGGUUUCGACCACGUGGUAUCUCCUGGCUACGGCAGCGGAGCUCGCCGCAUGAGCGAUGAGCCGUUCGGCUUCCCCGUCGACCGUCCUCUGCACCUUUGGCAGAUCGAGAAUCUGCACAACAUCAUGUUGGAGGAUGUCUUGAUCCACCAUAAGCCCACCCCCGAGGUUUACGUGCCUCACACCGACACUGCUAACUAAACGUUACCUAUAUUACUAUGGAUUAAACCUUUGAUACUCAACGUUACAUUGGAUUUAUUGACUGUGACUGUUACAGUUUAGUCUUUAGUGAUUUUAGUCAAACUGUAUUGUUGAGUAGCGAAUCGAAUGUCACUAAUCUGAUGUAAAUAGUUUGUGCGCGUGUUGUGUUAUAUAUGUAUGUAUAAUAUUUAUUUGUUACUUAUUUUGUGUUUAUUUAUGUAGAAACCGUUGAUUGUAUAUGUAAUAGUAUGAAUAUAGAUGAAUUAUACGAGUCAAUAUAUAUUUAUGUUAUAUUUAUU